UAUUAAUCAGCCGGCAUAACAUUGGCACGAUAGAGAUUUCAAUUUUUUCGAUGAUGAUGAUCAUCAUCAUCAAUUUUGAUUCUCCAUUUACUGGUUAUGCCUAAAUCAUAAUUGCGAUUGCACUCUCUAUAAAUUGUUUCAAUCGUCCAUCAUUUACGAAAGGUACGCGAGAAUAAUUUGAAUUCGAAUUUUUUUUAACGGCAUAAUCAUCCAAUGGAUGUACUUUGGUCAAUCAAUGGUCGUUCCAUUCAGCAUUAUUGAUGCCAAUAUUGAUCAUGAUCAAUUGAAGAGAUCUACUUUGAAUUGUUUUUAACAAAAAAAAAAUCAAAGUCUAUAUUUUAUAAUUGAUACAUUUCUUAUCCUUUUCUAGAAUGUAGGAUCUCAAAUUUAAUACCAAAUUAUCACCAUUAAAGAAGAUUCUAAAAUGGCUUCGAAAUUUUCCUGAAAUUGUACAAACAAGUCUGGUUUUAUACUGUGGAUAAUCCAAUUGGGGAUAUUUCCAGUCAUUAGAGGUUGUUAUUUGGAUGGAUUUUUUCUCACCAAAAAAAUGUUUAUAAUCUCGAAAGGACACAUGUAAAACACCAAUCGAUAAAUGAUCAUCGUCAUCAUUGUUUAUUUGAAUGAAAAGUUUUUUGUUUCGAAA